CCCGGCCUCCCACCCCCGCGCGCGCCCCCGAGGCAAACCCUAGCUCGCCGGCGCGGCGGUGCGGUGCCCGUCUUCCGCUCCUCCUCCCGAGCUCCGGCGCCCCCGCCUCGGCUACUCGGUGCGGGCUUCCUCGGCUACGACUCCUUCCGGUCCCACGGCGGUGGCGGUGGUCGUUCCCACUUCGUCUCCGUCUCUCGAACUAUAAGCUCACACUCUUCUGGAGCUGGAAAAUAGCCGGGAAGUCUGUGAGAGACAGGAUCAACCUUUUGCUUGCAGUAUUUUAAGCGCCUUGAUGCUUCCCCCAAUGGUGCAGGGAAAUUAGGAACUCUGAAGGUGAAUCUCUGACUAAAUAGGAUUUAGUCUGACACUACUGCAGGGAGAUAAGAGCAGGACACACAAUGCUUGAGGAUUUCUUUACUCUGACUGAGAUGAAGGAUGGCAUUUCAACUACGGCAAGAAUAGCAGAGCUGGUUUCUGAGAUCCAAAAGCUGAGAGAUGCUGCUGAUUUUAGUACAGCUGAUUUCAUAAGGCAGUGUUCAACAGCUGCAAAAACACUUGGAUCUACCAACAAUGAAGAAUGUCUUCAGCAUUUUGUUCAGCUAAAUGGUAUUGGUUAUCUCAAUCAGUGGCUUCAGGAUGCUCAAAACUGCAGCAAGGAAGUCAGCAGUUCAGCAGAAGGUUUGAUAAAUGAAAUAUUAACUGCAUUGGAGCGGCUACCAGUUGAUGAUAUACAUAAAGCUCCUUGUGGUUUAAUUCCCACUGUUCAUCAGCUACUUUCUCAUGAAAAUACAGAGAUCAGUCAAAAGGCAAGAUUACUUUGCCAGAAAUGGAGCAGUGCACCAAAUUAUGGGGAAAAUGACCGACAAAUAGAUGCAAAAGAAGCGUACCAGGCUGCUGAUCUUAAGCCCCCAGAAGCUAGCCAGGAAAUGGAAAAUAAUAAACACGGCGGAGCAAAUGAAGCUGCAACUCCAGAAGCUAAAUCAAACCAUGAUACAUUAACUUCCUCGGUUGUUCCUUCGCAGGAUCUGUCCCUUAUCAAUAAUAACACAGACAUGACAAAGCAGCCUCCAAUGCCAGCAUCCCCAAAUUCCUCGGAUGGACAUGAGGUUUUAGUGCAGGUGAACUCCUCAGUUUCAUCUCUUGCAUCUCAGGGCGGCCUACCGAAUGCGUCUGUUACCGAGGAGACUUCUUCCUCCAAUGACGUAGGUUUAGUCACCAAUUGCAAGUUGUCAGAUACUCUCAACCUAAAGAGUGACACUGGGCAUGUUACUCAAGUAAUAGGUUCGACCAUAGAUGCCAAGUGUCUUGAGAAUGUCAACUCAGAGAACUCAUUUGACAGUAUCAAAAUUGAUUUGGGGGACCAAAAUGUUUCAAGUAGCUUGGAUAUCAAAAAAGGCAAUUCCUUUGCAGCAGGUCAGUCGUGCUCUGAUAAUAAUGCAAUUGAAGCUUUGAACCAUCUUGCAAAUGCAAGCGGUAGUUUGCAAUAUUCGUCGGAGGACAGCAUGGGCAAAGAAGAAGGGCCUACAUCAUCAUCAGGUACAGAUGAUAAAGACACUGGCAGUGAAUUUUGGUUGACAAGAUCUGCGAAGAGCUUUGGGGAUUCCUCAAAGGCAGCAGAGACAAAGUUGAAUGCAGUAGAGGGAGAGAAGUCACCACCAUCGACAGAGUAUGAUGAUACUGAUGCACUGGAAGUAGCACGUCUCGUUGCAAUUGAGGUGGAGCGGGAAGUAAUUGACUACAGGGGAGACUAUUGCAGUUCUCCUGACAUUAGUUCCGAAAAUGUAGAUAGUCCUCAUGUGGAAGCAAGGCAGCACACUGAACCCCCUGUUCAUGAAUCAAAUGAGAAUAAAUCCUCCACUACGGUGGUGGAUUCAGGAAAUUCCUCGUCUCUUAAGGAGGAUGGUGUGGGCAUCACAGAUGACAGCGGUCCUAUUAAUAGCAGAAAGAACACACAGGGUGUGGAUAUGGUAGACUUUGAUCUUAAUGCAAAUCAGUACCAUGAGGAAACUGAUUAUCAUCCAAAGUCCAGUGCUAAUAAUUCUGUAAAUUUAUCAACUCCUAUAGCUGUGGCUGCUUCUAGAGGCUCACUUGUAUUUCCAGCUCGCCUCCAAUUCGAAGGUGCACUGGGGUGGAAAGGCUCUGCUGCAACCAGUGCUUUUCGGCCAGCUUCUGUUCCGCGUACUCCUGACAGAGAGAAGUCAAUGUCAGCCUCUUCACAGAAAACAAGAAAUGUGAUGUUUGACUUGAAUGUAGAUGAAAGUGAAAAUACUAUUGCUGGUGAGUCACUUUCAACAGCCUUCUGGCUUCGUUCUUCCGACAUAGCUCCCAAGGAUAUCUCUGGAGCUGAUGGUGCUAGUACGGGGCUUGAACUUGACCUUAAUAACCCAUGUGAAGAGGAGGAAGCUGCUACCACCUCACCUGCUGUACCAUCAUUCUGGAGUCAUGAACAAUGUCAUGGCAGAUGGAGCCAGCCCUCUUCCUCUUCAUCUUCAAGGCAACCUACUGCAAAGAACUUUGACUUGAAUGACAAUGUAUCCUUCUUUGAUGCCUCUUCCCGAGGCAAGGGGGAGUCCUAUGUCAAGACUUCCACGAACAAUACAUCAGACCAUUCUGAAGUCAUGAUUAUGGGCAAGAGAGUUGCACUUGGACAGAAGGAGCACCGCAGCCCAAACCAGUAUAACUUUCUGGGGCCAAGUAUGGAAUCUAGUCUCCUUGUGAGGUCAACGCAGUCAUAUGCACACACGCCUCCUGAUUUCAGUGUUUUCGGCUAUCCUUCUCAACCUGCUGCCAUGCCUUUGCCUCCUCCUCUCUAUGCACCUGGAGGUGCUCCUUACAUGGUUGAUGCUAGGGGUGCAGCAGUGGUGCCUCCAUUGCCGGGCCUAGGUGUUGGCAUUUCUCAUCCAUCUUUCACCAGCAGAACAAUUCAACCUGUGCCUAGUGAAUUUGGCUACAUGAAUGCAAGCAUGGAUUUCAACUAUGCUCUCUCAUCUGAAGGCGCACGAAGGGAAGCUGGCGGCUAUUGGCCUGUACCAUUCCAAGGUCAUACCGUCUUUCUUGAUGAACGUAUGAGAAGUACAUCACAAGGUGGCAGCUCUGGUACUGGGUUGGUAUCGAAGCGGAAAGAACCUGACUCAGGUUGGGAUAUCUACCCCCGGCACUGAGCGUCCAAUGUUAGUUGCAGUUGUAUUUCUUCGGUUAAUUCAAUGUUCGAUCUGCCUGGGGCCUUGCACAAUAUGGAAGAAGUUCCGCACAUGGAAAAUGGAAGAUGCGUGAAACUGACUAUGUUUCAGCUAUGAGUGGUUUUCAGACACGCAGGCUUCUGGAUAUCAUUGCUUUGGUACAACAUGUAGAUUUAGUUCCUCUGCCUAUUGCGCAUAGAUCAUGCAUUUAACUUGAAAAGACCAAACUGGUGGCAAAACUUCUAAUUUCCUAUGAAGGAGCCAGCUGCAACUUAUCAGGGAAAGAAUCAACUGAACCCUUGAGAUCAGGUUUGGUAGAUAGUUUGCCUGUUACUCCAAAGUCCUUGGACAUAUUAUCUAAAGAACUCCCUGUUUGUGGAAAGCUUGCUGUAUCUUGUAUCACUAUCUCAAGCAGGCCCUCAGUUUACACAAGUAUGGUCAGUUUGACAGCGCAGUAGAAACAUUCGAGGUUACUGCAGAUAAUGAGAACAUGCUGGACCCGUUUAUAUAUGUCAUCUGAACCCCGGUGUCCUGUGACACUUCGUGCAAUAAAGAUCAAAGACAGAGAAGUCUGGUAAAGAUUGAAUCUGAGCUGAGGUGUCAUCAUCUGAACUGGAUGGAUGCAGCCUCGCCAGAGCAUCUUUGAAGUUGGAACGUAGAAGACCGACCUGAAGCUUAACGAGAACUGUACUUGAUCAGCAUUCAGCAGCAUGAUGAUUUGUUGCAGAAUCCGGUGCGGAGCCGUCCUGAGCAGAGUCUUGUUGCAGGAACUUUACCUGCAAGAAAGAAAUUUGAAGGAUGCAUGCACUCCUGAAAGGAGUUGACAGCUUCACACGGAGGCAAGAAAUUGUCUGGACAUUCAGAUCGGUAACAAUUGUAGCAUUAGCAUUAUAGAGAUGUAGUACACCCAAGGUAUGUAGCCCCCGAAGGAAACAUCGAUCAACGUAACAUUUUGAAGUAUAUAUCUUCUUUUUUUGA